rnacentral:lncRNA from 1 species
UAAAAACAACUCUAUUUUACUUUUGACUCUAUUUAAAGCAUUUGUUAUACUUUUCUCACUAACUAAAAAUAUUUUAACUUUAAGGAUUUAGGUAUAAAAACUAUGGAUCAGCAAAAAAUGGUAAAGCAACUAUUACUACUUUGAACACAUUUUGGUGGGUCUUCCAAAACUCAUGUUUUUUAAUAGAACUGCCUAAACCACUCUUUCUCUUUGACUAUAUUUGGAUGGAAUUGAGAUAAGAAGUGGCCCUUUCUGAAACAAUUAGGCUUUUCAACUUAACCUCCUGGAAACAGACUGUUGGAAGGAAAGGGAAAAAGAAAAGUACACUAAUCUAAAACCACAUUGAACUUUUUCUGGCAAUAUCAGUAGAACAUGAAUGUAACCAAACAAGGGUUUACACUCCUGUAAUUUCACUGGAAAAACUCUUCUGUAUCUAAAACAGAUUAUCUGAUAAAACUGAUGCUAUCCACAUGCAAAAGGACUUAAAAUGAGAGUUAGUACACUAUCUUUGGAGCAUUGAAAUGCAAGCCAAAAUCAAUGAGUUCAUCUUUGAGGCUCAUAUUGACAUUUUUUCUUGCAAUUUUGUAUUAUGAAUGCCAGUUGCUUAGUCAGGAUAAAAUACAGUGACUUAGUCAUAAUGACUAAACACCUAGGAAAAUUAAAUUUAAAAUCUUAACUCUUAUAUUCAUUGAUGAUGUUAUUGUUCCUUCCAAUGGAUAAGCUCUUCCAAAUAUUGAUGACCCUUUAAAUAACAAGAAAGUCAACUUACAGGUAUGUUGGUUUUGUCAUGUUUGGUGAUUUCCCAUAAAAAAUAUUUUCAC